UUGCCCUGGCAGCACGUACAAUGAAACUGGGAUAGAAAGAAGAUCAGCAUGGCCCCUGUGCAAGGGUGACAGGAAAACUGGUGAAGUGUUCCAUGUUUUG
ensembl:snRNA U6 U6 spliceosomal RNA